AGCGAACGCUGGCGGCAGGCCUAACACAUGCAAGUCGAGCGGCCGUAGCAAUACGGCAGCGGCAGACGGGAGAGUAACACGUGGGAACGUGCCCUUCAGUUCGGAACAACCCAGGGAAACUUGGGCUAAUACCGGAUACGCCCUUACGGGGAAAGAUUUAUCGGCUGAAGGAGCGGCCCGCGUCUGAUUAGCUAGUUGGUGGGGUAAUGGCCCACCAAGGCGACGAUCAGUAGCUGGUCUGAGAGGAUGAUCAGCCCCACUGGGACUGAGACACGGCCCAGACUCCUACGGGAGGCAGCAGUGGGGAAUAUUGGAAAAUGGGCGCAAGCCUGAUCCAGCCAUGCCGCGUGGGUGAUGAAGGCCCUAGGGUUGUAAAGCCCUUUCGGCGGGGAAGAUAAUGACGGUACCCGCAGAAGAAGCCCCGGCUAACUUCGUGCCAGCAGCCGCCGUAACAC
rnacentral:rRNA from 1 species